CCUACGUGAGGCAGCAGUGAGGAAUAUUGGUCAAUGGGCUUACGCCUGAACCAGCCAAGUCGCGUGAGGGAAGACUGCCCUAUGGGUUGUAAACCUCUUUUGUCAGGGAGCAACGCCGGCUACGUGUAGCCGGACUGAGAGUACCUGAAGAAAAAGCAUCGGCUAACUCCGUGCCAGCAGCCGCGGUCAUACGGAGGAUGCGAGCGUUAUCCGGAUUUAUUGGGUGUAAAGGGUGCGUAGGCGGAAUGCCAAGUCAGCGGUAAAAUCGCGGGGCUCAACCUCGCUCCGCCGUUGAAACUGGCGUUCUUGAGUGGGCGAGAAGUAUGCGGAAUGCGUGGUGUAGCGGUGAAAUGCAUAGAUAUCACGCAGAACUCCGAUUGCGAAGGCAGCAUACCGGCGCCCAACUGACGCUGAAGCACGAAAGCGUGGGUAUCGAACAGGAUUAGAUACCCUGGUAGUC
rnacentral:rRNA from 1 species